UUCCAGCAACUUUCAGGAUGGUUUUCCUCUUGGGAUAUGGGAAACAUCAUGACGUGUUUGUUUUUCUAUGCAAGAUCACGGCAUGACUUCUGACUUCCGAUGAUUCCUCAGAAGUUUGAGGUUCUGUUAAAUCUGAGCUAGUGAAGAUGUGCAGGACACUGACUGUCCUCUCAUGCAUCUGUGUUUACUUUGACUCCAUUUCAGUUUCAGGGCAUUUACUGCUUUGGUCUAUUCCUAUUGAUUGGUUGGUUGAUUUGCUGUGAGACUUCAUGCACGUGACCCCACUGCUUCCGAGCUGGCUUUCCAUCCUCUGCCCUUACUUCAUGCCUCUGCCAUCUGUGAAGCCUUCCCUGGCGCUGCCCACGGCCCUCUACCAGACAAGGCAGUGGAGGCUCCAAAGCUGAAGACCAUGGAGCCCGACCCCUUGUGCUCUUAAACGGCACCCCCGCCUCCCCCUAAAAUGCCAGCAGCAGCAAGCAGAGGGUAAGAACCACUGUCAUGGGAAAGUUGAGUUCAGCAGGAUGGGCGGCUGCGCCCGAACACUGUAAUGGUGCUCAAGGUUUCACUUCAUAAUUAUCCCGUGGAAAUGUGAAGAAACAAUCUCCCUCUCCCACCAAAACAGCAGACGUCCGAACUGUAAAGUCGUGAGUUUAUUGCAUGUGUAACAAAACGAUCCUGACCUCCCGGGUCCAGCCUGCUGUACAAUCACGGCGUGCUGUACAAUCACGUGCUGGUUCCAUAACCACAUUAAAUAGAACUAGUAUCUCUUUAAAUACUUCUGAUUUUGACAUAAAACAGAACAUUAGUGUACAACUUCCACAAAAUAAAUCAGUAAUAAAAACAGUGGGAAGAAUAGCAAGGAUAGCAGCAACACUUAAAACAAGACGUUACAAAAUAAAUUAAAAAAUACAUUAUAAAGUGGUUGAGAAACAAACUGAACAAGUUUGGGAAGUCCUUACUGUCUUUGGGGGCUGCCCCUCACUUCCUGCGGAGGGCCGGCAGGAGCGUCACCACUCUGUCCUUGGGGUGGCGUUUGAAGGCUCUGGCUGUGCAGGCACUGGGGACACCUGCCACUGGAAUAGCCCCCAUUAAGGCAGGCUCCGUCCCCCCGAAAGGCGGCUGGAAAGCAGUCAAAGUGUCUUAACCCUCUUGCUCUAGUUCUGCAGACGGGCCCCCGCUAGAGGUGGAUCCCCGAGGCGGCCAGGCCAGACUUCAUGAAUGGAUUACAGGGAAUCUCUCCCAGAACACCCCGCCUGCUGCUCAGCUAAGACACCGGAGUGAGAGCAAGGAACCACAGCCAGCAGGAAAGUAAGUAACCCCAAACCCCCCACGAUCUGAAGAUAUUAGUAACAGAAAGGACACAUGAAACAGUCAUCCCGAACCCACCUGACCCAACACCAAAACCUCACCAGUGAAAUGUCUCGCUAAUGAAUUACCCUGCACUUACCCGCAAACGAAAACAAUAAAAUGCAUACACAAA